rnacentral:rRNA from 1 species
GACGAACGCUGGCGGCGUGCUUAACACAUGCAAGUCGAACGGAAAGGCCCUGCUUUUGUGGGGUGCUCGAGUGGCGAACGGGUGAGUAACACGUGAGUAACCUGCCCUUGACUUUGGGAUAACUUCAGGAAACUGGGGCUAAUACCGGAUAGGAGCUCCUGCUGCAUGGUGGGGGUUGGAAAGUUUCGGCGGUUGGGGAUGGACUCGCGGCUUAUCAGCUUGUUGGUGGGGUAGUGGCUUACCAAGGCUUUGACGGGUAGCCGGCCUGAGAGGGUGACCGGCCAGAUUGGGACUGAGAAACGGCCCAGACUCCUACGGGGGGCAGCAGUGGGGAAUAUUGCACAAUGGGCGGAAGCCUGAUGCAGCAACGCCGCGUGCGGGAUGACGGCCUUCGGGUUGUAAACCGCUUUCGCCUGUGACGAAGCGUGAGUGACGGUAAUGGGUAAAGAAGCACCGGCUAACUACGUG